rnacentral:snRNA from 1 species
UUCGCUUCUUGGCCUUUUGGCUAAGAUCAAAGUAUAGUAUUUGUUCUUUUCAAUUUAAUAUUUUUUAAUGUGAUAAUAUUUAUUUAUUUAAUACUUUAUUGUACACACUAG